rnacentral:rRNA from 1 species
UGGGGAAUAUUGGACAAUGGGCGCAAGCCUGAUCCAGCAAUGCCGCGUGUGUGAAGAAGGUCUUCGGAUUGUAAAGCACUUUCGGCGGGGACGAUGAUGACGGUACCCGCAGAAGAAGCCCCGGCUAACUUCGUGCCAGCAGCCGCGGUAAUACGAAGGGGGCUAGCGUUGCUCGGAAUGACUGGGCGUAAAGGGCGCGUAGGCGGUUUGUACAGUCAGGUGUGAAAUUCCCGGGCUCAACCUGGGGGCUGCACUUGAUACGUAGGAACUUGAGUGGGGAAGAGGGUCGUGGAAUUCCCAGUGUAGAGGUGAAAUUCGUAGAUAUUGGGAAGAACACCGGUGGCGAAGGCGGCGACCUGGUCCUUGACUGACGCUGAGGCGCGAAAGCGUGGGGAGCAAACA